UACGUAGGGUGCGAGCGUUGUCCGGAUUUAUUGGGCGUAAAGAGCUCGUAGGCGGUUUGUCGCGUCGGCCGUGAAAUCUCCACGCUUAACGUGGAGCGUGCGGUCGAUACGGGCAGACUUGAGUUCGGUAGGGGAGACUGGAAUUCCUGGUGUAGCGGUGAAAUGCGCAGAUAUCAGGAGGAACACCGGUGGCGAAGGCGGCACUCUGGGACGGUACUGGAC
rnacentral:rRNA from 1 species